rnacentral:rRNA from 1 species
UACAGAGGUGGCAAGCGUUGUUCGGAAUUACUGGGCGUAAAGGGCGCGUAGGCGGCCUUCUAAGUCAGACGUGAAAUCCCCCGGCUUAACCUGGGAACUGCGUCUGAUACUGGGAGGCUUGAGUAUGGGAGAGGGAUGUAGAAUUCCAGGUGUAGCGGUGAAAUGCGUAGAGAUGUGGAGGAACACCAGUGGCGAAGGCGACUUUCUGGCUUAUAACUGACGCUGAGGCGCGAAAGCGUGGGGAGCAAACAGG